rnacentral:rRNA from 1 species
UACGUAGGACGCAAGCGUUGUCCGGAAUUAUUGGGCGUAAAGAGCUCGUAGGCGGUUUGUCACGUCUGCUGUGAAAAUCCGAGGCUCAACCUCGGACCUGCAGUGGGUACGGGCAGACUAGAGUGUGGUAGGGGAGACUGGAAUUCCUGGUGUAGCGGUGGAAUGCGCAGAUAUCAGGAGGAACACCAAUGGCGAAGGCAGGUCUCUGGGCCACAACUGACGCUGAGGAGCGAAAGCGUGGGGAGCGAACAGG